AGUAAAAUGCCUGAAUAAAAGGGUUAUCUUGAUAGGAUAAAUAAUGUAAUUUUGACUUUUACUA
rnacentral:tRNA from 1 species